rnacentral:rRNA from 1 species
UAACGCGAAGAACCUUACCUGGUCUUGACAUCCACGGAAGUUUUCAGAGAUGAGAAUGUGCCUUCGGGAACCGUGAGGCAGGUGCUGCAUGGCUGUCGUCAGCUCGUGUUGUGAAAUGUUGGGUUAAGUCCCGCAACGAGCGCAACCCUUAUCCUUUGUUGCCAGCGGUCCGGCCGGGCACUCAAAGGAGACUGCCAGUGAUAAACUGGAGGAAGGUGGGGAUGACGUCAAGUCAUCAUGGCCCUUACGACCAGGGCUACACACGUGCUACAAUGGCGCAUACAAAGAGAAGCGACCUCGCGAGAGCAAGCGGACCUCAUAAAGUGCGUCGUAGUCCGGAUUGGAGUCUGCAACUCGACUCCAUGAAGUCGGAAUCGCUAGUAAUCGUGGAUCAGAAUGCCACGGUGAAUACGUUCCCGGGCCUUGUACACACCG